rnacentral:rRNA from 1 species
GUUUGAUCAUGGCUCAGGAUGAACGCUAGCUACAGGCUUAACACAUGCAAGUCGAGGGGCAUCAGUUUGGUUUGCUUGCAAACCAAAGCUGGCGACCGGCGCACGGGUGAGUAACACGUAUCCAACCUGCCUCAUACUCGGGGAUAGCCUUUCGAAAGAAAGAUUAAUAUCCGAUAGCAUAUAUUUCCCGCAUGGGUUUUAUAUUAAAGAAAUUCGGUAUGAGAUGGGGAUGCGUUCCAUUAGUUUGUUGGGGGGGUAACGGCCCACCAAGACUACGAUGGAUAGGGGUUCUGAGAGGAAGGUCCCCCACAUUGGAACUGAGACACGGUCCAAACUCCUACGGGAGGCAGCAGUGAGGAAUAUUGGUCAAUGGACGCGAGUCUGAACCAGCCAAGUAGCGUGAAGGAUGACUGCCCUAUGGGUUGUAAACUUCUUUUAUAUGGGAAUAAAGUUGUCCACGUGUGGAUUUUUGUAUGUACCAUAUGAAUAAGGAUCGGCUAACUCCGUGCCAGCAGCCGCGGUAAUACGGAGGAUCCGAGCGUUAUCCGGAUUUAUUGGGUUUAAAGGGAGCGUAGGCGGAUUGUUAAGUCAGUUGUGAAAGUUUGCGGCUCAACCGUAAAAUUGCAGUUGAUACUGGCA